AUUGAACGCUGGCGGCAGGCCUAACACAUGCAAGUCGAACGAGUGGCGGACGGGUUCGUAAUGUCUGGGCACCUGCCUGAUGGAUGGGGAUCCCUACUGGCAACGGUAGCUAAUCCCGCAUACCAUCGUCUAUGCCCAGGUGGGAUUAGCUAGUUGGUGGGGUAAAGGCCCACCAAGGCGACGAUCCCUAGCUGGUCUGAGAGGAUGACCAGCCACACUGGAACUGAGACACGGUCCAGACGCCUACGGGAGGCAGCAGUGGGGAAUAUUGAACAAUGGGCGCAAGCCUGAUGCAGCCAUGCCGCGUGUAUGAAGAAGGCCUUCGGGUUGUAAAGUACUUUCAGCUGGGAGGCGUUACCCGCAGAAGAAGCACCGGCUAACUCCGUGCCAGCAGCCGCGGUAAUAC
rnacentral:rRNA from 1 species